GGGGGGNAAYCCUGANCGCAGCGACGCCGCGUGCGGGACGGAGGCCUUCGGGUCGUAAACCGCUUUCAGCAGGGAAGAGUCAAGACUGUACCUGCAGAAGAAGCCCCGGCUAACUACGUGCCAGCAGCCGCGGUAAUACGUAGGGGGCGAGCGUUAUCCGGAUUCAUUGGGCGUAAAGCGCGCGUAGGCGGCCCGGCAGGCCGGGGGUCGAAGCGGGGGGCUCAACCCCCCGAAGCCCCCGGAACCUCCGCGGCUUGGGUCCGGUAGGGGAGGGUGGAACACCCGGUGUAGCGGUGGAAUGCGCAGAUAUCGGGUGGAACACC
rnacentral:rRNA from 1 species